AUUUAUUUACUCAUCUUUUAGAUACCAACCUAUUUCGGUGUUUUUGUUUACAAUAUUUGUGUUCUUAAAUUCAUAUAUAUAUAUAUAUUUUGCCCAACCAUCAUCUAUUGAAUUUCCUAGGCUAAUGUUGAAGUUUUGCAGUUUUAAAUCUGUUUAUUUAUAAUGACUCGUAGUUAAUUUUUGCAUAUAUACUUCUGGAAAAUUUAAGAAUGUAUCAAACGAGAAAGAACAAAAAUCUUAGUUUUAAAAGUGUUUGUAAAUCUUUUUUAGAUAACCUUUUUUUUAGUGUCGUAAUAUCUAAUCUUUACUGAAUUAGAUUUAAUUUGAACAUAAUUUUAUCAAAAGCUUGUGAAAAUACAUGCUUAAAUCUCGGCAGUAUAUUGUACAUGUAGACUAAAAUAUUUUUUUUUUAUUGUAUAUAAUUAUACAUUGUAAGGGGAGGAAAUGAUGCUAAAACAGAACUAAAUUUUAAGGAGCAUACCAUUUUAAAAUAAUUGCUAUGCCAUGAAAUUUUUAUCUAAGAUUUCCUCUUAUUUGAAGUAUUUACUUACAAAACUUGCUGUAUACACUUAAUGUAUUAUAUUAAUUAAAACUUGGGAUAAAAUUAUCUGAACUUAAAUUUAUUCUAAGAACAAUAUCUGAUUUUUUAUUAGUAUCUAAAAGGAGAAGAAUUCUAAACAUGAAAGUUUUUGUAAACGCAUUUUAAACAAAUAUAUUAGAAAAAAUAAAAGGUUACUGAACAUUUUGAAUUUGGCAAAACCGAAAGUAACACUAAACUGUGAAUAUUUAUUUAGAUUAGAUAUUCUCUGACUAAGUGGUAUUUAUUAAUAUUUUAAGUAUACUGCUAAAAGUAAACCUAGUUAAAAAUACUUUUUGCAAGCACACAUUUGUUGCUAAAUACAAAAUUCAGAUGUUACAAAGAAAAAAAUUUCAUUCUUAUGAAUGUAACAAUAAAUCUUGCAAUUUUCUAAUUCUGACAACCUUCAAAUGGCCUGUUACAAUUUUGGAAAUACAAAUAUUUAAUUCAUUGUAUUUAUAAUUAAGAUUGCCAUAUACUAAUAAAAAAAGAUUUGGCUUUGAAAAAUACUUUAUAAUGUGAUAAAUACAGUCUUCCCUUUUCCAUUCAUUUUAUGUUAAUGUACAUUUAAAAUUAAACUUUGUAUUUGUUUUGUAUCAUCUUAUUUACUCAUAAAUUUUGUCAGUCACAUAUGGUUUUAAAUAAUGCAAAGUUGCCAUAUCAGCUAGUAAAUUAUUAAUUGGGUCCAAAUGAUGAUAUAAUCUUCAAAUGGAGAAAUAUUCUGAUUUUUUAACAAGUUUGACACUCUUUCAAUAAUCUUUGUUUUGACUUUCUAUACUUUCAUGAAUAAUUUUCUAAAAAAAGUAGAUGCAAUUGCAGUAUCAGACUUAAAUCUAAAUUGAUAAUUCUAUCAAUGUCAAAGAGUAUCUUAAUUUUUUUUCUUGAGUUAAAAUUUUCUAAUAUCCUGGUGUUUUAGCAAGACAUUUUUGGAGAUUAAUAAACAGAAAGCUUAGUGUAAACUAAGCAUCAGUCAUCAAAUACUUGCAGGAAAUAUCUGUAAAGAGCAUAUUGUAUGACUUUUCAGCCAUCGUCUGCCAGUUUUCAUGACAGGCUGUUUAUUGACAAUUGGAGGAUUAAAAAUUGCUUUCAUUGGAUGAUAAAAUUAUGUAAAAUUGAAAAGAUUAAAUUUAUCAACAUUUUGAUAAAUUUGAAGUAAUUUUGAUUUCAGGACCUCUUAUUUUAGUCCUUCCAUAAUUUUUCUGACAAGCAGUUAAAGAAUGCCAGCUAUUUGAAAAAAAAAAAUUCACAUGAAUGACCUAUUAGAUAUCAUUUUCACCAUUGGAUUUUGUGUCUGUCCUCUUCUUUCAUCAUCAUUGUUUGUAUUGCCAAAAAAUAAAUAUUUUGUAAAAGUUA